AAACGCAUCAUCUCCUCCCUUGAUGGGUAUCAAAUAUAGCCUAUAUAGCCUCCGGCCAGGAGGAGUCCAUGUUUUCGCCAGCCUUUCUUGCCGUGAGCUUUCUUUACCCUUCAGGGCGACAGUAUUACCCUGCAGACCGAGCUCAUUUACAUGUCAUGCAUGUCUGGGAGCUGUCAAAUGGGAUUUAAGGGACACACGAGCAGCAAGUUUUGAUGGUGGAGAAAGUGAGCUUGCGACGAAAAGCAGCUGUGGCAAGUGCCUGAACCACUCCAGCUCAGCUUCCCCCGCGCCCACAAAUGAGAAGAGAGGAAUUUGUUAGUGCCUGAUUCAACGACCACAUCUGCCAAGAGAGACACGGUGCAAUGCAAGACACACAGGGGGAGGAGAUGUGUGUGCAUCUGUGUAGGGAAAAUGCGUCUGAGUGUGUGACUGGAGCCCCCCCUCCCAAGCCUCUGGCCAUUGAGGUGCCUGCUGUUAACAGAUUGGGUGGCUAGCGAGACGGUUGCAGCAUGUGUGUGUGUUUCUAUAUGCAUCUGUGUGUGUAGUCUAUAUAUCCUCACCCACAACAUCCAUGUGUGUGUGUCAUGACUGUGCAUGUGUCUCAUUAUGCAUCUGCAAACAAAACAAAAAAGAGGGUGAAACUAGCCAGGGCUCUCUCAUAUGCCACAGGCCCUGACACACUGCACUACUGUGCUGUGACUAUCCCCCGUGUCCGUUUGGCAGGGAGACAUGAUGAGGAUGAGAGGGAAACGCGCCUCCCCUGGGUGCUGCGCUUUAGCUAACCCAGAUUUUAUGCAGUGUGACACCGGCUCCUGUGCUCCAUUCAAAGCAGAGCUGUCUGAACCGAGGCAACCCGAACAGAAGAUAAUGCCUAAAUAACAUUCAUGCAGCGGAGAAAAAGUCCGACUUGUAGAAGAGGGCGAGGUAUGAAGAUUGGGAGCACGCCCACUCGAGGCCAAGACCUACGCCUUUGAGUGGUUGGAUGACUAGAAAGGCGCUAUGUAAGUACAUUCCACCAAUUUACCAUUUAAGCCCCACCCACCUGUAUUUGCUAUUUCUGCGGUUUCACCCAUUCCUCUAAUUGUAUUUUUAAACCAAAACUGGCUUAUUCUUAAUGUAUUGGCGCUAUAAUGCUGCUAACAUGGCUUCCUGAACCUUUUACACAUGAAAAAAAAAAAACACGUCCCUGGGUGGGCUCGAA